rnacentral:lncRNA from 1 species
AGAAAGGAAAAGGGGAGGGAAAUUUAUAGAGUUUUGAAACUAUUAGAUUCGAGCCAAGUGGCAAAAGCUGGUGAAGAGAGAGGAGAAAAAGAUGUUUAACAUGAAAAACGAAGGAGGAGGGCCUCCUCCACCGACGACGGUGGUGCCUCGCCCAAGGAAGUGGUGGUACACAACUCAAGGUGGCAGUGUUUUGGUAGAUGCACUGCAGGCUAGCCUGUAGGCACAUAGGCCUCCUGCCACGCGCAAGCCCCAGGCGCACAGGGCCUAUCCGCACAGGCCUACU